rnacentral:tRNA from 1 species
CCGGUCUUGAAAACCGGCGACGGGAAACCGUUCGAGAGUUCGAAUCUCUCCUCCUCCGCCA